UUAAUCCUAAUUAAUUUAUAAAUACAUUAAUUAAAUUCACAGUCGACCAUAAGUAUAUAUCGCAUGCUUGACCUCAAAUGUCUUGAUUAGGCUGUUUGAUGGUCGGCUGCCCGAGAGGGCCACACCUUCCCUAUUGAUACAUUCAUGAAAGUAUUUAGAAUUUACAUUACCUUCCUUUUAAUGGUUUGAUUCUUGAUCUUUGCCAUUAAAUGCUGCAAUUUAGAUUUGAUAACUUAUACAAUUCAAUCGAUAUCUACCUUUUAUCAUUAAUUUCUUCGUUUGACGGACCCACAAUUUCUUCCUUAAUUUCGACCCUCCUUAAACCUUCUUUGAUCUUUUAAUCGUUUGAAAUUUUUUUAAAAACAAACAUACCCCAUCCUUCCACCUAAAUUUUUCUGCGUUGCUCCAUGACAUAGUUAUGAUAGCCUUUUGUUUCCUGCUAUUUUAUUUAAUGCUGAAAACAUCAUAGUACUC
rnacentral:lncRNA from 1 species